GAACGUACUGUUUCGUUGAUCUCCUCUCUCUUACCUCUAUCUGUCGUUCUCUGUCUGAUCUCUCUCCCUCUCUCUCUACAUUGGCGGUGGGUUCUCUCUAUCCUCUCUCUUCUGGUACCUCUAUCUGUCGUUCUCUGUCUGAUCUCUCUCCCUUUCGCUACAUUGGCGGUGGGUUCUCUCUAAUCUCCCUCUCCUUUUGUGACCACGGCUUAGAGUCUGGUUUGUAUAAAACUCUCUUGCAAACCCUAAUCAAUUGGUCGUUUUACUUUUUUGGGGUUAGAUUAAAAUCUUGGCUCUAACAAUUACCAAUCAAAGGGUCGUCAUGUCUCCUCAGUCUUCAGGUUUACUUGUUGGAAGAGAAAAACUAAUUGGAAUGAGCGGUGUCGGUAAAAGAUAGGUGAUGCUGGUAUGAAGACCUACGUUAUCUGUGAACCGGAAGUCACGAGAAAACAAAUCGAGACAGAUCAGUAACAGUACUUGCCGUAGUGGCCAAGGGUAGGGAAGAUAACAACAGCGUCAUAGUGGUCAAGCUGAAGUUGCAAUGGCGGUCGUGUCCUGGCGUGCUUGUUACUUCAAUCAAUUGGUAAAUAUUCUUAUUAUUGAUUUAAUAAAUUAAUCUAAUUAUUAAGAUUUAUUUUAAUAGUUGUCAGUAUGAGCUUUGCUUUGGUAACGAAAGUUUGAAAUUUUAUUCGAUAGCUAUUUGAGCUUGUAAGAAGCAGCAGCAAUUUAUUGAGCUUGUAUAGUAGUGUUCUAAUGUUUUAUAUGGUUGAUCUUGUUGGAAGAGCUUAACGAACAAUUAAGUGAUUGUAAUAACUUUAUUUUACCAACUUUGAUUCAGGUGAUCCUUGUAUAUAUGAAACCUAUGUAAUUUGCGAGCAAGAGGUGAUAGUGAUAAAAGUGAACUGAAUCAGAUGACUUUAUUAUAA